AGAUUAAGCCAUGCAUGUGUCAGUACAAACCAAACCGCAAAGUGAAACCGCAAAUGGCUCAUUAAAUCAGCUAUGAUUUCUUGGAUCUGUCCCCCCAGUUUUCCUUGGAUAACUGUGGUAAUUCUAGAGCUAAUACAUGCACAUUUAGUCCCUGACCUCACGGGAAGGGCGCUUUUAUUAGUAUCAAAACCGGUCUGACUUCGGUCUGUAAAACCAGUUGUGAUGACUCUGGAUAAUUUUUGCUGAGCGCACAGUCUUUGCACUGGCGCCACUUCUUUCAAGUGUCUGCCCUAUCAGCUCUCGAUUGUAGGAUAUGGGCCUACAAUGGCUAUAACGGGUAACGGGGAAUCAGGGUUCGAUUCCGGAGAGGGAGCCUGAGAAACGGCUACCACAUCUAAGGAAGGCAGCAGGCACGCAAAUUACCCACUCCCAGCUUGGGGAGGUAGUGACGAAAAAUAACGAUGCGAGACUCAUCCGAGGCCUCGCAAUCGGAAUGAGUACACUUUAAAUCCUUUAACGAGGAUCAAUUGGAGGGCAAGUCUGGUGCCAGCAGCCGCGGUAAUUCCAGCUCCAAUAGCGUAUAUUAAAGUUGUUGCGGUUAAAAUGCUCGUAGUUGGAUAUCAGGAUUGGACUGUAGGUGCGCCGUGAGGCGUUUCAAUUACCUAUCAGUAUCUGAACGAGCUUACCACAACAAACUUUGUGUAUGCCCACACUGGCUCACCCGGGGUGUUCUUAAUUGAGUGCCCCGCGUGGCCGGUAUGUUUACUUUGAAAAAAUUAGAGUGCUUAAAGCAGGCCGACUGAACGGCCUGAAUGUCUAUGCAUGGAAUAAUGUAAAAGGACCUCGGUUCUAUCUUUACCGGGCAAAAUAUGUUUGUGGAACCCGAGGUAAUGAUUAAUGGGAACAAAUGAGGGCAUUAGUACUGUGACGCUAGAGUGAAAUCUGACGUCGCAUGACUA
rnacentral:rRNA from 1 species